rnacentral:rRNA from 1 species
GACGAACGCUGGCGGCGUGCUUAACACAUGCAAGUCGAACGAUGAAGCCUAGCUUGCUAGGUGGAUUAGUGGCGAACGGGUGAGUAAUACGUGAGUAACCUACCUUUAACUCUGGGAUAAGCCUGGGAAACUGGGUCUAAUACCGGAUACGACCAAUCUCCGCAUGGGGUGUUGGUGGAAAGCGUUAUGUAGUGGUUAUAGAUGGGCUCACGGCCUAUCAGCUUGUUGGUGAGGUAACGGCCCACCAAGGCGACGACGGGUAGCCGGCCUGAGAGGGUGACCGGCCACACUGGGACUGAGACACGGCCCAGACUCCUACGGGAGGCAGCAGUGGGGAAUAUUGCACAAUGGGCGCAAGCCUGAUGCAGCGACGCCGCGUGAGGGAUGACGGCCUUCGGGUUGUAAACCUCUGUUAGCAGGGAAGAAGAGAAAUUGACGGUACCUGCAGAGAAAGCGCCGGCUAACUACGUG